UGAUUUUAAUUUUAAGAUUAGUUCUGACGUGUUGCUCAGCUCCAACAUCCACCAAAUUUUACUUCACCAUUUUUUAGCCACGUAUCAUUCCAGAUUUUUAUCUCAUUCAAAUCCCUCCAUCCUCAUCAGCCUUUACCAUUUUUCAUGUCUGAAAUUCCUGUGAAACCUCAAACUUGCUAGUAAAUCUCUUCGAUCAUCUCCUUCUACAGAACUUCAGUUUGGUGCGGCGCGACUAGGAUAUGAAUUUUAAUUUAAUUACUCAAGUUGAAGUUCAAGUUCAAGUUCAAAUUUACAGGUUAUAAAGGCCGGAGGCACGUGGAAGGUCGAAUGGCCGCCUCAAGUCAUUUGAAGAUAGUUGAUUCAAGUAUUUAAAGUUUUACUUAAUAGUUAAAUAUUUUCAUGACAUCUUUAUGUCAUGCUUUGGGACAAGAUGUUGAUUGUCGAUUUUAAACCAAAGGUAGUAUUUGAAUAUAUCAUUAAAAGUUGAUAUCUUUUAAAUCGUUUGAAAAUUGUUUUAAAAGUUUAUUACAUUUAAGGCUUUACUUUCCUUAAAUUGUUUGCUAGAAUUUUAUUUUAAAAGUUGAUUUUAUUUUAAAAGUUAAUUU